rnacentral:misc_RNA from 1 species
GAUGAAGAACGCAGCGAAAUGCGAUAAGUAGUGUGAAUUGCAGAAUUCAGUGAAUCAUCGAAUCUUUGAACGCACAUUGCGCCCUUUGGUAUUCCUUAGGGCAUGCCUGUUCGAGCGUCAUUUGAAACCUCAAGCUCAGCUUGGUGUUGGGUGUCUGUCCCCGCCUCACCGCGGGGACUCGCCCCAAAAUCAUUGGCGGCCGGUACGUUGGCUUCGAGCGCAGCAGAAACGCGAACUCGAGGCCCGGCGGAUCGGCGACCAGAAGUCACUUCUUCACAGUUUGACCUCGGAUCAGGUAGGGAUACCCGCUGAACUUAAGCAUAUCAAUAAGCGGAGGA